UGCUAGCCUCCCCACUGAGCCAGCAUGAGGAUUGACCUUUCGUGGAUCACAGGAAGGAAAUCUGGCUUCUCAAAGAAGUCAAACUGGUUUUGACAGAAAAGACUUUACCAGCAAAACUCUAGGCAGAAGCAGGGAUACUCAACAGCAGGAGAAAGCAGAGUGUAUGCCAAUGGUAGAAAUACAAGGAUCUUGAAGAGCAGAAGGCACCUUGAAGAGCAAGACUCAUUUUCUCCCCCUGCGGAUCACCCUGUCUUGAUUCAUGCAGCCGUACCGUACCCCACUGGCACACCUCAAAGCACAGCUUGCCUUGGAUUUGCAUAAUGUGAAAUUGCUAAGCUAAAUUAUUGCCACAUGUAGGAUCCGUUAUCACUUUCUUAUUUCCGAACUGGUGAAAACGUUGCCACGGAACCACUGAUAUAAAGGAAGCAGUCCACGGGUUUCCUAGUUCAUUCAGAGGAUCUGCAGUUUCAUUUCUCCCCUUUACAACAGACCCACAGAGAGCAGCUAGUAUUUACAGGGCUCGGAGUGGCCACUUUGAAAUUGCUGAGAAAGAACAUAAACACUGAACAAGUGCAGCAGGCAUAGAAUAAACAAGAAAAUGAUGCUUCAGUGAAAUAAAGCAAGUGUGUUUGAGUCAA